CCUUUGUUGCCAGCACUUCGGGUGGGAACUCAAAGGAGACUGCCGGUGAUAAACCGGAGGAAGGUGGGGAUGACGUCAAGUCAUCAUGGCCCUUACGAGUAGGGCUACACACGUGCUACAAUGGCGUAUACAAAGAGAAGCAAACUCGCGAGAGCCAGCGGACCUCAUAAAGUACGUCGUAGUCCGGAUUGGAGUCUGCAACUCGACUCCAUGAAGUCGGAAUCGCUAGUAAUCGUAGAUCAGAAUGCUACGGUGAAUACGUU
rnacentral:rRNA from 1 species